UACAAAAGAGCAGAAAAAAGGCUAACAAGCGGGACUGUAUCUAUUGCACCGGAGAGAAGCAUGAGUAUCACCUCAGGUUCCCUCUUCUAUGCUUGCGCUUGCGAUUCACAGUCUCUGGCGACUCUCUGCUUCUGAGAAACUGAGGUACUCUGCUCAUCCACAGUCCCUAAUUCCUCCGAAAAGGAAAAAAGAUUCCCCAAGAUCUCGAAAUUCUUUUCAAGCGGACCCUCUUAGGACCAGAGGGUUCUGCUUCGAGAUCUCAAAGAACUAAAACAAAACCGAAUAAAAUUCCGUCUGAUCUGCUCUCAAUUUCAUGCACCGAGAGUGAAUCUCUCAAUAUGGGUAUACUGUUUACGAAAAUGUUCACGUCCCUCUUCGGCAAUAGAGAAGCUCGGAUUCUCGUUCUUGGCCUCGACAAUGCCGGAAAGACCACAAUCCUCUAUCGGCUUCAGAUGGGGGAGGUUGUGUCCACGAUUCCAACAAUUGGAUUUAAUGUCGAAACGGUGCAGUACAAUAACAUCAAAUUCCAAGUAUGGGAUCUGGGCGGACAGACAAGUAUCAGGCCAUAUUGGAGAUGCUAUUUUCCAAAUACCCAAGCCAUAAUUUAUGUUGUUGAUUCAAGUGACACUGAUAGGUUGGUCAUAGCGAAAGAUGAGUUUCAUGCAAUCUUGGAGGAAGAAGAAUUAAGAGGUGCUGUUGUUCUCAUUUUUGCAAACAAGCAGGAUCUUCCUGGCGCACUUGAUGAUGCUGCUGUUACUGAGGCUUUAGAGUUGCACAAGAUAAAAAACCGCCAAUGGGCUAUUUUCAAAACUUCUGCUAUAAAGGGUGAAGGUCUCUUUGAGGGCUUGGACUGUGGUAGUGGAUGGUGAUAAGUGAUAAAUGGAGUGAAGAUGACUUUAAAACAUGGUCUGUUGUGAUGGUGGUGGAGAUACUUGGUGAAAAUGGUUGGCUCAGAUUGAUUAUAUGAAGGCAGUGAUUUUUAGGACCUACGAUCUAGAGUGAAUUUAGACACUCGACGAAGGCUGAAAGAGAAUGGUGGCCGUGAUGCAAGAAAGAGUGAGCAAGGGACUUCUCACACAGUAAUAUGGUGUAAAGGUGGGCUGGGACAAGAAGUAAAUCUGGUUUCCAUUGCAACCAUUUUCACAUCACGAGGAAAGGAAGAGUGCGAGGGGCAUUUCAACCUUUCAAAACUGGUACAGCACCGUCCUGAAGAUGGGGAGGACACCUUUCUGGUAUAUAUAUGCAUACAUAAUGGUUUGUUUUUGGCUGUGAAUACUUGAAGGUCCAAAAAGUUUGACCGAUGAAGACUCAACCUAACUACCUCAAUUUCUAGCAGAAACAAAUACAAUGAAAGGAUUAUACUAUAAGGUUGAGUAACACGCUCAAGUCUGGAAGUUCCUAACUCUUUCAGUUCCAGUAAAGGAUAUAAGCCUGCUGUUGUUUGGCCAGAACGGAAAAAGGGUGAAGCGUUUAGUUUGGAUUAACUCGGUAGACUUCUCUAAUUGAUUUGGGAGUAAACCAACCAUACGUGUAAAAUUUGUGAUCAUAUUCAUGAACCAUUUGGCUCUUAUUUUUGUUGUGAUACUUUUCUUUAUUUUCUAUCCAAAUUUCUUAUUUGUUUUCCCCA